UACGGGGGGGGCAAGCGUUGUUCGGAAUUACUGGGCGUAAAGGGCGCGUAGGCGGCCAUCUAAGUCAGACGUGAAAUCCCUCGGCUCAACCGAGGAACUGCGUCUGAUACUGGAAGGCUUGAAUCCGGGAGAGGGAUGUGGAAUUCCAGGUGUAGCGGUGAAAUGCGUAGAUAUCUGGAGGAACACCGGUGGCGAAGGCGGGUCUCUGGGCCGAUACUGACGCUGAGGAGCGAAAGCGUGGGGAGCAAACAGG
rnacentral:rRNA from 1 species